AACUAACCAGGAUUCCCCUAGUAACGGCGAGUGAACAGGGAUUAGCCCAGCACCGAAGCCUGCGUCCGUUUGGGCGUUGGGCAAUGUGGUGUUUAGGUUGACGCUUUGGUGUGCUACUUCGUUCCAAGUCCAAUCAUGAAUAUGGCUUUAGUAUGGCCCAGAGAGGGUGAAAGGCCCGUGUGGACGGAGUGGCGCGCUACUGCAUUGACUUUGGAGUCGGGUUGUUUGAGAAUGCAGCCCAAAGUUGGUGGUAAACUCCAUCUAAGGCUAAAUACUGGCACGAGUCCGAUAGCGAACAAGUACCGUGAGGGAAAGUUGAAAAGUACUCUGAAGAGAGAGUUAACAGUGCGUGAAACCGCUUAGAGGCAAACGGGUGUAGUCAAGCUGCAAGCCCAUUGAAAUAGGGGGGCCAGAAUGGCGUGAGUCUGAGCACAUAGAGCUGUCGUUAAUGGUGCGUCCUAUGGGCGUGUUCGAUUCGCAAGAACCGGAUCUGUGAGGUGGCAUUCGCCACUGCAGGCCUUAGCGUCAGUUGUUCUGCUGGCCCUCUCACUUUCUUUGAGCGUAUGUCACGACCGUCGUUGCUGUCGGUCUGCUUCGUCUAAACCGUAUCGUGAGUAGCCUUGUGCUUCUCGUGAUAAGGGGGCAGGUAGCCGGGCUUGGCAUUUCGGUGUUGAGUUUGGUGUAAUUGCUGGGCGGAGUGGUACCUGUAACUGUGCAGUGCGGCGGGGCUGGCGGUGCAUUGAUUUGAACGUGCUAAGAACAUGUUGGCGUGACGUGGGUCUGGCUGCUUGUUGCUGUUUUUAAUGGCCUUGUGGCGGCUCUGUUGCGGUAUCGCAUGUGGUUACGAGCGAAUCUUCUCUGCAUUGAGCCUAUAGUCUGUGGCGUAGUGGUA
rnacentral:rRNA from 1 species